rnacentral:rRNA from 1 species
CCUACGGGAGGCAGCAGUGAGGAAUAUUGGUCAAUGGACGCAAGUCUGAACCAGCCAUGCCGCGUGCAGGAAGACGGCUCUAUGAGUUGGAAACUGCGUUUGUAGGAGGGUAAAUCACGAUACGUGUAACGGGUGGAAAGUAGCGUACGAAGAAGGAACGGCGAACUCCGUGCCAGCAGCCGCGGUAAUACGGAGGAUUCAAGCGUUAUACGGAUUUAUUUGGGGUAAAGGGUGCGUAGGCGGUUCGAUAAGUUAGAGGUGAAAUCCCGGGGCUCCACUCCGGCACUGCCUCUGAUACUGUCGGGCUAGAGUUUAGUUGCGGUAUGCGGAAU